rnacentral:rRNA from 1 species
AUUGAACGCUGGCGGCAGGCCUAACACAUGCAAGUCGAACGAGUGGCGGACGGGUGAGUAAUGUCUGGGGAACUGCCUGAUGGCGGGGGAUAACUACUGGAAACGGUAGCUAAUACCGCAUACCAUCGGAUGUGCCCAUAUGGGAUUAGCUAGUAGGUGGGGUAAUGGCUCACCUAGGCGACGAUCCCUAGCUGGUCUGAGAGGAUGACCAGCCACAUUGGAACUGAGACACGGUCCAGACUCCUACGGUAGGCAGCAGUGGGGAAUAGUGCACAAUGGGAGCAAGCCUGAUGCAGCCAUGCCGCGUGUAUGAAGAAGGCCUUAGGGUUGUAAAGUACUUUCAGUGGGGAGGCGUUACCGGCAGAAGAAGCACCGGCUAACUCCGUGCCAGCAGCCGCGGUAAUUC